rnacentral:tRNA from 1 species
AAGGAUUUAAGUUAAAUUAAACUUGGAGCCUUCAAAGCUCCCCAUAAGGAUCCUUCCUUAAGCCUUA